rnacentral:rRNA from 1 species
UACGUAGGGGGCAAGCGUUAUCCGGAUUUACUGGGUGUAAAGGGAGCGUAGACGGCAUGGCAAGCCAGAUGUGAAAGCCCGGGGCUCAACCCCGGGACUGCAUUUGGAACUGUCAGGCUAGAGUGUCGGGGAGGAAAGCGGAAUUCCUAGUGUAGCGGUGAAAUGCGUAGAUAUUAGGAGGAACACCAGUGGCGAAGGCGGCUUUCUGGACGAUGACUGACGUUGAGGCUCGAAAGCGUGGGGAGCAAACAGG